GAUGAACGCUGGCGGCGUGCCUAAUACAUGCAAGUAGAACGCUGAAGCUUGGUGCUUGCACCGAGCGGAUGAGUUGCGAACGGGUGAGUAACGCGUAGGUAACCUGCCUCUUAGCGGGGGAUAACUAUUGGAAACGAUAGCUAAUACCGCAUAAAAGUCGACAUUGCAUGAUGUUGACUUGAAAGGUGCAAUUGCAUCACUAAGAGAUGGACCUGCGUUGUAUUAGCUAGUUGGUGAGGUAACGGCUCACCAAGGCGACGAUACAUAGCCGACCUGAGAGGGUGAUCGGCCACACUGGGACUGAGACACGGCCCAGACUCCUACGGGAGGCAGCAGUAGGGAAUCUUCGGCAAUGGGGGCAACCCUGACCGAGCAACGCCGCGUGAGUGAAGAAGGUUUUCGGAUCGUAAAGCUCUGUUGUAAGUCAAGAACGAGUGUGAGAGUGGAAAAUUCACACUGUGACGG
rnacentral:rRNA from 1 species